rnacentral:rRNA from 1 species
UGGGGAAUAUUGGACAAUGGGGGAAACCCUGAUCCAGCGACGCCGCGUGAGUGAAGAAGUAUUUCGGUAUGUAAAGCUCUAUCAGCAGGGAAGAAAAUGACGGUACCUGACUAAGAAGCCCCGGCUAACUACGUGCCAGCAGCCGCGGUAAUACGUAGGGGGCAAGCGUUAUCCGGAUUUACUGGGUGUAAAGGGAGCGUAGACGGCACUGCAAGUCUGGAGUGAAUGCCCGGGGCUCAACCCCGUGACUGCUUUGGAAACUGUGGUGCUAGAGUGCAGGAGAGGUAAGUGGAAUUCCUAGUGUAGCGGUGAAAUGCGUAGAUAUUAGGAGGAACACCAGUGGCGAAGGCGGCUUACUGGACUGUAACUGACGUUGAGGCUCGAAAGCGUGGGGAGCAAACAGGAUUAGAUACCCUGGUA